AACGCACAUUGCGCCCUUUGGCAUUCCGAAGGGCAUGCCUGUUCGAGCGUCAUUAUCCUCUCUCAAACCCCGUGUUUGGUGUUGGACCGCGUUGGGCCGCCUCCAUGGCCAACUGGUCUCAAAGACAAUGACGGCGUCCCAGGGACCCUCUUCGCACUGAGCUUUCCGGAGCACGCGUCGAGUUUCAAGGGCCCAGGGACCCGGUCGCCUCUAAAUAUUUUUCAGGUUGACCUCGGAUCAGGUAGGAAUACCCGCUGAACUUAA
rnacentral:misc_RNA from 1 species